rnacentral:tRNA from 1 species
GUAUAUAUAGCUCAAUGGUAGAGUGUGUACUUAGCAUGCAUAGGUCCUGGGCUCAACUCCCAGUACCUUCA